GCGGGUGUAGUUUAAUGGUAGAACAUGAGCUUCCCAAGCUCAGAGCGCGAGUUCGAUUCUCGUCACCCGCUCCA
rnacentral:tRNA from 233 species